GGGCUUAGCUCAGCUGGGAGAGCGCCUGCUUUGCACGCAGGAGGUCGGCGGUUCGAGUCCACUUAGGCCCACCA
rnacentral:tRNA from 1 species